AAAUGUAAAUAGUGUUUCAGAUGUUAACCUUUAUUUUUCAACCCCGCAGCAGCAUUGUUGCGUUCUUUUUGGAUGAAUGCUUUGAAAUGAAAACAAUUCUAGUUGACAUCGGGCUGAGCAUGGUGUGUGGGAGGGAAAAGAAACAAGCAGUUCGUUGGCUGAGCAUUGUUGACCCUUAUAUUAUUAGCUAGGUUAGCAGGGGUUGUACGAACCAAGGGUUGAAAAUUGAAUGAGUGCCGGCUGGCUUCUGAUUAAGUAAAAGAUGACAAAUGGUGAUUCUUGUUAAGU
rnacentral:lncRNA from 7 species